GUGAUAGACACUUAAUGUUCAUUUAUUUAUUUACUCACUGAAUGAAUGAAUGAUUGACAUUGGGACAUCAUGAAAGUUUACUGACAGAAAUAAGUAAACUUCAUGAAAAGUAGAACAUCGUGGAAGUUUACUGACAGGAAUAAGUAAAUAAGUAAGUUUACUGACAGAAAUAGGUAUGAAUAAUGCCUUCAUAUUAAUAUAUAAUAUGCUCAUAUCUGUGGAAAGUUCAGUCCACGUACACCAAGUAUGGCCUUCUCAACUCACAAUUCACACCAAUAAAAAAAUUUAGGUACAUAUGAUGCUUUCUGGUCAUGUUCAUUCAUUCAACAGCUGUUCUAUUUGGACUGAUCAGACGUUGUUCUCACAUCAAAUCCAAGAACUGAAAACAUUAUUUAAAGUUUCUCUCGAGUUUUUAAGAACCUACAACUAUUUAUGGAGAAAAAGCAGCCCAAGGAUGAUCUUUUUGAUAGACUCAAUACUGGUAUUCUGAAUAAGCAUCUCCAGGAUCUCAUGGAGAGCUUGACAGCCAAGGUAUUCCAUACAUACAAUGCCUCCAUCACGCUACAGCAGCAGCUAGAAGAACUCACAGCCCCGGAUGAGAACAUCCCAGCGAAGAUCCUUUCUUAUAACCGUGCCAAUCGAGCUGUUGCAAUUCUUUGUAACCAUCAGAGGGCACCACCAAAAACUUUUGAGAAGUCUAUGAUGAACUUGCAAACUAAGAUUGAUGCCAAGAAGGAACAGCUAGCAGAUGCCCGGAGAAACCUGAAAAGUGCUAAGGCUGAUGCCAAGGUCAUGAAAGAUGCAAAGAUGAAGAAGGUAGUAGAGUCAAAGAAGAAGGCUGUUCAGAGACUGGAGGAACAGUUGAUGAAGCUGGAAGUUCAAGCCACAGACCGAGAGGAAAAUAAACAGAUGGCCUUGGGAACCUCCAAACUCAAUUAUCUGGAUGCUAGGAUCACUGUGCCUUGGUGCAAGAAGUGGGGUGUCCCAAUUGAGAAGAUUUACAACAAAACCCAGCGAGAAAAGUUUGCCUGGGCCAUUGAAAUCGCUGAUGAAGACUACGAGUUUUAGCCAGUCUCAAGAGGCAGGGUUCUGUGAAAAGGAACAGUGUGGUUUGGGAAAGAUGGAUAAACUGAGCCUCGCUUGCCCUCGUGCCUGGGUGAGAGAGGCAGCAAGUCUUAACAAACCAACAUCUUUGCAAAAAGCUAAACCUGGAGAUAUUAUAAGGGACAGCUGAGCCAGUUGUCCUACGGACAACUUAUUUAAAAAUAUUUCAGCUAUCAAAAUUCUAGCUGUAUGAUUUGUUUUGAAUUUUGUUUUUAUUUUCCAGAGGGCAAGUGGAUGGGAAUUUGUCAGCGUUCUACCAGGCAAAUUCACUGUUUCACUGAAAUGUUUGGAUUCUCUUAGCUACUGUAUGCAAAGUCCGAUUAUGUUGGUGUGUUUUUACAGUUAGGGUUUUGCAAUAACUUCUAUAUUUUAAUAGAAAUAAAUUCCUAAACUCCCUCCCCUCUCCCCCAUUUCAGGAAUUUAAAAUUAAGUAGAACAAAAAACCCAGUGCGCCUGUUAGAGUCGUCACUGUCUAUUGUCAUAGGGAUCAAUUUUCAUUAAACUUGAAGCAGUCGUCGCUUUGGCAGUGUUUUGGUUCAGACACCUGUUCACAGAAAAGCAUGAUGGGAAAAUAUUUCCUGACUUGAGUGUUCCUUUUUAGAUGUGAAUUUUUAUUUCUUUUUAAUUAUUUUAAAAUAUUUAAACCUUUUUCUUGAUCUUAAAGAUCAUGUAGAUUGGGGUUGGGGAGGGAUGAAGGGCGAGUGAGUCUAAGGAUAAUGAAAUAAUCAGUGACUGAAACCAUUUUCCCAUCAUCCUUUGUUCUGAGCAUUCGCUGUACACUUUAAGAUAUCCAUCUUUUUCUUUUUAGCCCUGAUCUUUCACUUGAAAGAUUUUAUUGUAUAAAAAGUUCCACAGGUCAAUAAAUUUAGAGGAAAAUGAGUAUUUGGUCCAAAAAAAUUAAAAAUAAUUAAGAUUUUAGGGCUUUUAUUUUUUCUUUUGUAAUUGUGUAAAAAAUGGAAAAAAACAUAAAAAGCAGAACUUUAAUGUGAAGACUUUUUUGCUAUAAUCAUUAGUUUUAGAGGCAUUGUUAGUUUAGUGUGUGUGCAGAGUCCAUUUCCCACAUCUUUCCUCAAGUAUCUUCUAUUUUUAUCAUGAAUUCCCUUUUAAUCAACUGUAGGUUAUUUAAAAUAAAUUCCUACAACUUAACGGAAAAAAAAAAGUUUCUCUUCCAUCUCUAGUAAAAUUAAUUGCCUCCUUUUACCAUCUCUAGUAAAAUUAAUUAGCUUCACAGAUACCCUCUGUAGAUAAACUCCUUUAAUUUCUUUCUUCCUAACAUACAAAAACAUUCCCAAAUAUGGUUUGAUUUCCCCCAAAAAAUGUAACAAAA